CGUACGUUUGCGACCCAUCGACCACAAAUGUCGAAGGAAACCCUAAUCAGUUGCGAUGCGAAACCUUCGUGUUCUUCGUUUCUCUUCGAUCGGCAGACGGUGAUGUAUGGUUUUGAGAGAUUGGAAAGCUAUAACGGUGCGUAACGAAGAACACGUAUAUUAAUAAAGGUAACAUACAUCACCAUAUCUCCAAAAGGCUAUAAAAAGGCUAGCUUCCCAUCUCUCAAAACCAUACAUCACCAUAUCUCCAAAAUUUUCAAUCUUUCCUUCAUUUCUCGCAUACCCAUCUCCAAAAAUCUCAGCUUGAACUGGAUGAUGUUAAUCGAUUGCUGAUUAACUUUCCCUCACUUUGAUUUUUUUUCCUGUUAACCCGCCAUGGCCGCAAGCUUUGAGGUCAAAGACCUCCAGAAAAACCGCUUCACUCACCCUCUCUCGCUUUCAAUACUUCAUCUUGAACCGUUUCCACGCCGCGACUCCAACCACCACCGUAACAAGAUCUCUUCUCUCAAGCCUACGGGAGGAGAGAGAGAGAGAGGUGUUAAGCUACGAAUUGAGGUGCAGAGAAGGUGAACGGUGUAAAGUCUGCUCUUUUGUGCUCUCAAGGAGACCCCCCGGAUCUCUGGCAGCCUCCCGGAGAUGGAGUUUCCCUUUGGGUUAAUCCCGGUCGUGGCGGUGGUAGAACAGGGUCGGAUUCGAAAGAGAAUUCUUGGUGUGUAUUAUAUUUCAGUCAAAUGUCAUUCAUGUUAUGAAUCUGAGCUUCAAGACACUAAUGAGAUCAUGAGAGUUUGAAGAAGUAUUUAAUAGACCUGGUGAACCAAGGAAAGAUUCUGAGUGUGAAGGGAGCUUCUCUGGAUGGGCUUGCCUUAAAGUUAAAAUUUUCUGAACGCAAAUGGAGAGUGACGGUUGGGAAAGAUUCAGAAAAUCCUCAACAAAGCUACAUGUGAAAAGUUAGCUGUUGAGGCAACCAAGAAAGAACUAAGACAAUCAGUCCAUUUGGCAGGUUAUGGUUCUGUUUAGUUCAUGGCAAAACACGAAAAAGCAUUGUCGAGCACCCAUUUCCACCUACGUCAUUUGGUCAUUCAGUGGGCUAAAGAGGGAGAGUAGCCACACGCAUUCUGUUGAAAAUGUUGUGUUGACCAGAGUGUAAUAAGUCUCCACUUUGAUUGAUACUCCAUGCUUAAAUGAUUAAAAAAAUGAUAUUUCUACAGACUUUCUAGAGUGCAGGCUUUUUUUUUGAGAAAAGAUGUAGACUUUCUAGAGUGUAGUUUGCAAAUGUCUGAACUUUGUCACCCUAUGUAAAUGGUUACAACAAAAGCUUCAAAUGGUUCGAUUUUGAGAAAA